CACGUAGGGGGCAAGCGUUGUCCGGAUUUAUUGGGCGUAAAGAGCUCGUAGGCGGUUCGCUAAGUCGGGUGUGAAAACUCUGGCUCAACUCAGGGACGCCACCCGAUACUGGCAAUCUAGAGUCCGGAAGAGGUAAGUGGAACUCCUAGUGUAGAGGUGGAAUUCGUAGAUAUUAGGAAGAACACCAGUGGCGAAGGCGGCUUACUGGUCCGGUACUGGACGCU
rnacentral:rRNA from 1 species